UACGGAGGGUGCAAGCGUUAAUCGGAAUUACUGGGCGUAAAGCGUGCGCAGACGGUUUGUUAAGUCCGUUGUGAAAUCCCCGAGCUCAACUUGGGAAUUGCAAUGGAUACUGGCAAGCUGGAGUAUGGUAGAGGAAGGUGGAAUUCCCGGUGUAGCAGUGAAAUGCGUAGAGAUCGGGAGGAACACCAGUGGCGAAGGCGGCCUUCUGGACCAAUACUGACGCUCAUGCACGAAAGCGUGGGGAGCAAACAGG
rnacentral:rRNA from 1 species